rnacentral:rRNA from 1 species
UGGGGAAUUUUGGACAAUGGGCGAAAGCCUGAUCCAGCAAUGCCGCGUGUGUGAAGAAGGCCUUCGGGUUGUAAAGCACUUUUGUCCGGAAAGAAAUCCUUGGCUCUAAUACAGUCGGGGGAUGACGGUACCGGAAGAAUAAGCACCGGCUAACUACGUGCCAGCAGCCGCGGUAAUACGUAGGGUGCAAGCGUUAAUCGGAAUUACUGGGCGUAAAGCGUGCGCAGGCGGUUUGCUAAGACCGAUGUGAAAUCCCCGGGCUCAACCUGGGAACUGCAUUGGUGACUGGGCAGGCUAGAGUAUGGCAGGAGGGGGGUAGAAUUCCACGUGUAGCAGUGAAAUGCGUAGAGAUGUGGAGGAAUACCGAUGGCGAAGGCAGCCCCCUGGGCCAAUACUGACGCUCAUGCACGAAAGCGUGGGGGAGCAAAACAGGAUUAGAUACCCUGGGUAGUCCACGCCCUAAAACGAUGUCAACUAGUUGUU